GAUCGGAGUCUGCAACCCGACUCCGUGAAGCUGGAUUCGCUAGUAAUCGCGCAUCAGCCAUGGCGCGGUGAAUACGUUCCCGGGCCUUGUACACACCGCCCGUCAAGCCAUGGAAGCCGGGGGCGCUUGAAGUGCGUUGCCGCAAGGCGCGCCCUAGAGCGAAACCGGUGACUGGGGCUAAGUCGUAACAAGGUACC
rnacentral:rRNA from 1 species